GACCACGGGGUGGGCAGGCUGAGGCGAGGACGCUGCAGGGGCGGGAAGGAGGAGAGAAGGCAAGCGAGAAGCCUCCCCGUGCUGCCUGGUGCAGGCGCCGGGGGCACCCACCUUCCGCUCCCCUGCGGAGUCCGGCGCGGUGUCUCGCACAAACUCCCUUAGCCAGCCACGGCGUCCGCCAAGCCCCGCCUGCAGCUGGGGGAACCCGAGGGAGGCGUCGGCUGCCCGGGUAGAGCACGGGAGGCUGGACGGACUCGCCGUGGCAUCUAGCCGGAGAAGAAAGGCUGCCGCCAAAGGGGAAAUCAGCCUUGGUGCUGUAUUGCUGCUGCACUUCAGGAACUUCGGCCAACUCCGGGUGGAGUUGAUAAGUGGUAAAUAAACAGAAAGGUGAGGCAGAGGACAAAGCAGACGUCUGGAAUCGGAGAGGGCUGUAGUUAGCUAAUUGUGAUCCUUUGCCUUCUUUUAAAAAUAGACUCCAAGUACAGUGAUGAUUCCACUGAACAGUCUGACAGGAGCUGUCAGACUGAGAAACAUGAAAUAUUGCUAUCCACUUUCAAGAAUUCCCUUUUUGACAUUGCUUUAAGACAGUUUUGACCCAGCAAAGAAUGUGCCUGUUCAAACCAUAGACAGCCAGUUUGUCCAAGAAGAUGCUGUUGGAAACCAUGUCAAAGGCUUUACUAAAGUCCAGUUAAUUGCUAAAUACCAACACUAAUCAGCAAUCUUGCUGUCUCUGCAAGAGUCUUGGCUUCACUUUUAAUAUGCAAACUCCACCAGCCUACGCUCUACUAGGAAUGUUUUUCUGCAAUCUCCAGGUGUACUGUUUUUCUCAGAGUACUCUAAUGUCAGUCUGCCCAGUCUGUUACCUCACAAUGGUGAUGUACAUCUGCUUCUUAAAUAAAUACUUCACUCAACAAGUGAGCUGCAAAGAGCCUGCCUGCUAAAUUGAGGUGACCAAAAAAAAAUUCCCCCUCUAUGAAAGAGGAUGAAUUCUCUUUAUGCAAGAACGGAUGAAAAAGGAAGCAUCAUUUUAUCAAAAAAAAACAACCAAGUUGUUUGCAUGUUUAUCUGCAAUGUAAAAAUGGGCUUUUCCAGUCUAAAACAGAACUUGCUGCUUUAGGCUAACAGACAAAAUGAUUUGUCCAGUACUUUGGCAAUGCAUCUUGAGUUAAGCAAUGU